rnacentral:rRNA from 1 species
AUGAACGCUAGCGGCAGGCCUAACACAUGCAAGUCGAGGGGUAACAGGGGUGCUUGCACUCUGCUGACGACCGGCGCACGGGUGCGUAACGCGUAUGCAACCUACCUUCUACAGGGGGAUAGCCCAGAGAAAUUUGGAAUAAUACCCCAUACGAUCUUUACUUGGCAUCGAGUAAAGAGAAAACUUCGGUGGUAGAAGAUGGGCAAUGCGUCCUAUUAGUUAGUUGGUGAGGUAACGGCUCACCAAGACAUCGAUAGGUAGGGGCCCUGAGAGGGGGAUCCCCACACUGGUACUGAGACACGGACCAGACUCCUACGGGAGGCAGCAGUGAGGAAUAUUGG